rnacentral:rRNA from 1 species
UACGUAGGGAGCAAGCGUUGUCCGGAAUCAUUGGGCGUAAAGCGCGCGUAGGUGGCCUCGUAAGUCCGCUGUGAAAGUCCAAGGCUCAACCUUGGAAAGCCGGUGGAUACUGUGAGGCUAGAGUACGGAAGAGACGAGUGGAAUUCCUGGUGUAGCGGUGGAAUGCGCAGAUAUCAGGAGGAACACCAAUAGCGAAGGCAGCUCGCUGGGACGUUACUGACACUGAGGCGCGAAAGCGUGGGGAGCGAACAGG